rnacentral:lncRNA from 1 species
UAGCAGCCCAGCUCUCAGUUUGGUCCAGGAACAAAUUCGGUGAGCCAGCCAGAAGAGACUGGGAUGGUGCCGUGUUCAGUGGCCGGCAGCUCGCAGUGAGACAGUCUUCAGGAGGAUCCCAGCAGCUGUCGGUGAGAUUUCCCAGGAACGCUCUCAAAGGCUGUCCCAUGCACAAAAUUGCAUGUCCCUGUCGCUACUGGGGAAGAACAGAGAUCAGGUACAGACAAGCUCAAAAGGGUCUAAUUCUGUCAUCCAGACUGGAAUGCAGUGGUGAAAUCGUGGCUCACUUUCACUGCAGCCUCGACCUCCCUG